rnacentral:rRNA from 1 species
GACGAACGCUGGCGGCGUGCUUAACACAUGCAAGUCGAACGGAAAGGCCCUGCUUUUGUGGGGUGCUCGAGUGGCGAACGGGUGAGUAACACGUGAGUAACCUGCCCUUGACUUUGGGAUAACUUCAGGAAACUGGGGCUAAUACCGGAUAGGAGCUCCUGCUGCAUGGUGGGGGUUGGAAAGUUUCGGCGGUUGGGGAUGGACUCGCGGCUUAUCAGCUUGUUGGUGGGGUAGUGGCUUACCAAGGCUUUGACGGGUAGCCGGCCUGAGAGGGUGACCGGCCACAUGGGGACUGAGAUACGGCCCAGACGCCUACGGGAGGCAGCAGUGGGGAAUAUUGCACAAUGGGCGGAAGCCUGAUGCAGCAACGCCGCGUGCGGGAUGACGGCCUUCGGGUUGUAAACCGCUUUCGCCUGUGACGAAGCGUGAGUGACGGUAAUGGGUAAAGAAGCACCGGCGAACUACGU